GAGACAGCACCGCCGCGGUAAUACGAAGGGGGCUAGCGUUGCUCGGAAUCACUGGGCGUAAAGGGUGCGUAGGCGGGUCUUUAAGUCAGAGGUGAAAUCCCAAGGCUCAACCUUGGAACUGCCUUUGAUACUGGUUGUCUUGAGUCCGGGAGAGGUGAGUGGAACUGCGAGUGUAGAGGUGAAAUUCGUAGAUAUUCGCAAGAACACCAGUGGCGAAGGCGGCUCACUGGCCCGGAACUGACGCUGAGGCGCGAAAGCGUGGGGAGCAAACAGGAUUAGAUACCCCGGUAGUCCCUGUCUCUUAUACC
rnacentral:rRNA from 1 species